rnacentral:lncRNA from 1 species
GAAAGAGAUGUCAUUCUAGAUACAAGAAGCAUGUAGAACACCAAAAGGACAUGACCAGAAAAACAAAACAGAACAAAACAAAACCUUCACAUACUAUAGCUAACACACUAAAUAUAUGGAACAAAGAUAGUAUAUUGAAAAUGGUAAGAGAAACACCAAGUUACUAUAAAGGCAGACCCCUCAGAAUCACAGAAGAUUAUUCAAGUGAAACUUAAAAAAAAAAAAGCCAGAAGGGCUUAGAAUGAUGUAUUUAAAGUUCUAAAUGAUAACUGCCAACCCAUACAUUUAUACUCAACAAAGUCAUUCUGUCAUAAUUGAAAAAAACUCUUCAUGAUAAAAAUAGACUGAAUGAAUUUAUAACCACUAAGCCAGCUAUGCAGAUGAUAUUUAAAGAUAUUUAAAGAAAACCAUAUCCAGCUACAAGACCACAAGGAAGAAUAAAGCAUACUAUAAUAAAAUUUCAGCAAGAGAGAAUGGGGCGGGGGAACCCCAACCUCUAACACAUAAAUUUCAAUAAUAAUUCCGAAUAACAGUGGUGUCAAUUCAUCAGCCAAAAGGCAUAGAUUAGAAAGUAGAGGGGCUAAAAAGUAGGAAAUGUGUAUUUGUUGUCCCCAAGAAGUACAUCUCACAAGACAGAUACUCCUUAGGGUAAAAGCAUAAAAAAGUAUUUCAAGCAAAGAGAUCUAGAAAACAAGUAGAUGUCACUGACAAAGUAGAACUUGAACCAAAACUACUAAGAAAAGAUCAAGGUCACUUAAGAGAACCAUCUAUCAAGAGGACAUUACAAUUUUCAUUGUAGCUAAUAUAAUUAUAUAUAUGUUUUAAAGGAGUUUGAACAAAGGCUCCUUGAAGAGAUGGGUCAUUAAAUAAAAUUAUCAGUGCCAGGCAUGGGAUAACCCCCCCCUCCACAGUCUUCUUCAUCAAGGGGACACCAAACACCACAAACAUCCCAACUAUUGCCACUGUUCUUUAGUGACCACCACACUUACACCUUAAAACACUAUUGCUGAAGACACCAGGCACUUUGGUGGCAGGACAUAGAGAAAUCAAUCUGGAACUGACCUAGAAACUGCCCCCUGCUGGCUGGCUCUCAGAGGGCUAAAACGUGCUGUGGGAGACGAGACAUCAAUGGCCUUACCCAACACUAAGCCGUGUACACUGCAAUGUCAACCUACCAAGACGUGCCUGCUGCUACAAUAGUGGCAUGACCGGAAGGUAACCAGUGCUUCCCGAUUGGUUAUGAAGUCUGUUCUACAGAAGGGUCUCAUUCCUGGUACUGUAAAUCUACUCAAAAGCUCAUGACCAAGGAGAUCAUUGUCCCAUAUGGUGGGUGGUCAGGGCAAGAACUUACUAUUGUUUUACUAAAUACUCAUGCUGUCAAAUAGCAUUCUGAAUAUCCAUAGAUUAGUACUGUUCUAAACCUUGGUCAAAUAAACUUCUUUCUUUCUUUCUUUCUUUCUUUCCUUUCCUUUCCUUUCCUUUCCUUUCCUUUCCUUCCUUUCCUUCCUUUCUUCCUUCCUUUCUUUCUUUCUUUCUUUCUUUCUUUCUUUCUUUCUUUCUUUCUUUCUUUCUUUCUUUCUUGUGGUUAUGAGCAGUGGUUAAUGCAAAGAGGUAUAACUACGUGAAUUGCUGAAAACAUGUAACAUCUAUACCCCCAAACCCCAACACACACAAGAAACUUUGUAGAAGAAGGAGCAGAAAGAAUGAAGGGGGC